rnacentral:rRNA from 1 species
GAUGAACGCUAGCUACAGGCUUAACACAUGCAAGUCGAGGGGAAACGAUAUUGGAAGCUUGCCUCCGAUAGGCGUCGACCGGCGCACGGGUGAGUAACGCGUAUCCAACCUGCCCACCACUUGGGGAUAACCUUGCGAAAGUAAGACUAAUACCCAAUGAUAUCUCUAGAAGACAUCUGAAGGAGAUUAAAGAUUCAUCGGUGAUGGAUGGGGAUGCGUCUGAUUAGCUUGUUGGCGGGGUAACGGCCCACCAAGGCGACGAUCAGUAGGGGUUCUGAGAGGAAGGUGCCCCACAUUGGAACUGAGCAACGGUCCAAACUCCUACGGGAGGCAGCAGUGAGGAAUAUUGGUCAAUGGGCGAGAGCCUGAACCAGCCAAGUAGCGUGCAGGAUGACGGCCCUAUGGGUUGUAAACUGCUUUUAUAAGGGAAUAAAGUGAGUCUCGUGAGACUUUUUGCAUGUACCUUAUGAAUAAGGACCGGCUAAUUCCGUGCCAGCCGCCGCCGUAA